ACCUCCACUGGAAACCUUGCUAGGCAACACCUUGUCAACUUUUCACCUUUGAACCCUUCAACCACAAUGAGUGGCAUCCAAGUGGCCCUUUCAGACGUUGGGCUGGCCAAUCGCUGACAGCAACAAGUUAACAAGUCUCAUGCCUGUACAAGUGAAUGCUUCCUCUGACAAGAAAUAUUGCACACAGUUAUUGUCAAGCUGAGGAUAUUGUUUAGUGUACAUCACAACAAUUCGGGCAAGUAGCUGCCUAUGGCAUUGAGUGAAAUUAGAUUUUCCAGAAUGGAGGCCUUCAAUCCUUAAUGACUCAAAUGUCUUCAAAUGCUACCAGCACAACAACAUCCAUCCAUUUACCGAACCGCUUGAUCCUCACUAGGGUCGCGGGGGGUUCUGGAGCCUAUCCCAGCCGUCUUCGGGCAGUAGGCGGGGGACACCCUGAAUCAGUUGCCAGACAAUUGCAGGGCACACAGAGACGAACAACCAUCCACGCCGACACUCACACCGAGGGACAAUUUAGAGCGCCCAAUCAGCCUGCCAUGCAUGUUUUUGGAAUGUGGGAGAAAACCAGAGCACCCGGAGAAAACCCACGCAGGCCCGGGGAGAACAUGCAAACUCCACACAGGGAGGCCGGAGCUGGAAUCGAACCCGGUACCUCUGCACUGUGAAGCCGACGUGCUAACCACUGGACUACCGGUCCGCCCGCACAACAACAUUACCAUAUGUUUUUUCCUAAAUCAGACAGCAAUUACCGGUACAUUUACCAUUGAGUAUAAACAUUAUUGCUGGAAAAUCUACAAAGCAGUAUCACAGAUUGCUUCACACUCACAUUAGGUGAACGGCAAGUUGUUGAUCAUAGCGAUGCUAAAAAUAUUGUAACUUUUUAUCUGGUUCCAGUUAAAGAUAGUCUUGUUUCAAUGGACCCUCAUUCGAAAUCCUCACUGUUGACGAGGAAACCAUGAGAUGCUAUAGUUCAUUUCACAUUUUACAAAACAACGCAGUCCCCAUCUGGUAUUUUUUUUCACACUUCACCACAGCUCCCGAUUAAGUCUUUCUUUCAAAGCACAUACACACGCAGAUGGGAAAUAUGGGGCAUAAGAGGGCAUGUAAACGUGACCGUCGGGGCAGAACACCUCUCCUUUGAUCGGUUUAAUAACGGUGGUUAAGAGGUUGGAGGGCGCUGGGCUUCAGGAAGCAACAGUAGGAGACAACAUCCACGUGCAUCAAAAACACAUGCACGUUGGAGGGUCUUGACAUAUAAAGACAACAGAGAGAGACACUCGAGUCAACAGGAAACAAUUUGCAACAGGAUGUCAACGCUGGUCAAGAGAAGUUGAGCCAUGCACAUGCAUGUGUAUUUGGUAGCAAGCUGCAGGCUCUUGGUGAACGCGUGUGGAGUGUGUGCAGGAGCCACCGGCAGGGGUGGGGGUGGGGGGUGUUACGGCAUCUGGUUCGGCUUGUCUUGUUCAUCAGUGUGCUUUACGGCGGCGCCAAUGACAGCAUGCCACCACAGCCUCGGGGACUGACGGGGUGCCCACCGGUCGGACUGGUGAAAGCUGACAUCAGACAGGGGGGGAGAAGUGACUUAAGCCUUCUCAUUUGAAAAUGGAACGGCAAAAAUAACCAGAGCUUAUUCGACAUUACACCAUCUCUCAGUACGUCCGCUAAAGGUGAACAAUAAGAAGGGCAGUCUCAUCAUUUAGGAGAGGCUGAAAGUAUGAGGCAGUUGCAAUUCUUUUUGAAGUCUGCCUUGACACCACACAAAGCCUCGCCCACAGGACAGGAUGAGCACAAGUAUCUGGGCUUUCCCGUCAUUAACGACACGGGACAAGAGAGGACACCGUGAAGAGCAUCACGAGCAGAACAGGUGGCAGUGGAGUGCGUUUCCUCCAGCGUGCACAUGUGCUGCCAAUUUGAUGAUCAAGUUGAACCAAGUAUUUGCGGACUGCCAAGAUCCCAUGUCUCUGUCGGAUUAUUGACCUUGUUGCUGCUAUUGCUCAAGUGUUCUUGUCUAGAUCUCUCGAUCUCGUCAUUUGUCGCUUUUGCGCUCUAGCCUCUUGCUUGGUAAGUAUUUGGAGUUUUUAGUCUUUCUUCUCAAUCAUUAGUUACACACAAGGAAGUGAAAAAACUUACGAAUACACGACUGCAAACUACAGCGACGAUAACAAAAACAUUGUUUAGCUUAUACCUCCCUGAUGGAACUCUUUUAUUGGACAGCGUUAUAUCGUACAAGUGCUUUGUCGGUGGCAAUUGAUUAAAAAAAAACAAAAACAAACAAACUGUGAAGUCCAUCUGGAAUUAUUAAUCCUGCCAGCAUGGUGACAACUUCAAUAUUAAACAAAACCAAACAGCACGGUUAUUGCUCCGUGAUGGAUAUGAGGAAAUGAAAGAGAUGCAAACAGGAGGUGCAUGCAGCCACGUGUGUCCCUUGUCACUUUAGAUAAGGCCAAGAAAAGCGUGCUGAAUUAAACCAAGCCGAGUAUUAUCAUAGUUUGCCC